rnacentral:rRNA from 1 species
GGUUAUGUGGAUUAGAUACCCGAGUAGUCCACGCCGUAAACGAUGGGCACUAAGUGUCGGCAGGUUACUGCCGGUGCCGCAGUUAACGCAGUAAGUGCCCCGCCUGGGGAGUACGGCCGCAAGGUUGAAACUCAAAGGAAUUGACGGGGGCCCGCACAAGCGGUGGAGCAUGUGGUUUAAUUCGACGCAACGCGAAGAACCUUACCCAGGUUGGACAUGCUCGUGGAAAAGCUUGAAAGAGUAAAGACCCC